UCCGUAGGUGAACCUGCGGAGGGAUCAUUACCGAGUUUACAACUCCCAAACCCCUGUGAACAUACCAAUUGUUGCCUCGGCGGAUCAGCCCGCUCCCGGUAAAACGGGACGGCCCGCCAGAGGACCCCUAAACUCUGUUUCUAUAUGUAACUUCUGAGUAAAACCAUAAAUAAAUCAAAACUUUCAACAACGGAUCUCUUGGUUCUGGCAUCGAUGAAGAACGCAGCAAAAUGCGAUAAGUAAUGUGAAUUGCAGAAUUCAGUGAAUCAUCGAAUCUUUGAACGCACAUUGCGCCCGCCAGUAUUCUGGCGGGCAUGCCUGUUCGAGCGUCAUUUCAACCCUCAAGCCCUCGGGUUUGGUGUUGGGGAUCGGCGAGCCCUUGCGGCAAGCCGGCCCCGAAAUAUAGUGGCGGUCUCGCUGCAGCUUCCAUUGCGUAGUAGUAAAACCCUCGCAACUGGUACGCGGCGCGGCCAAGCCGUUAAACCCCCAACUUCUGAAUGUUGACCUCGGAUCAGGUAGGAAUACCCGCUGAACUUAAGCAUAUCAAUAAGCGGAGGA
rnacentral:rRNA from 1 species